rnacentral:rRNA from 1 species
CCUACGGGCGGCAGCAGUGAGGAAUAUUGGUCAAUGGACGAGAGUCUGAACCAGCCAAGUAGCGUGAAGGAUGACUGCCCUAUGGGUUGUAAACUUCUUUUAUAUGGGAAUAAAACGUUCCACGUGUGGGAUUUUGUAUGUACCAUAUGAAUAAGGAUCGGCUAACUCCGUGCCAGCAGCCGCGGUAAUACGGAGGAUCCGAGCGUUAUCCGGAUUUAUUGGGUUUAAAGGGAGCGUAGGUGGAUUGUUAAGUCAGUUGUGAAAGUUUGCGGCUCAACCGUAAAAUUGCAGUUGAAACUGGCAGUCUUGAGUACAGUAGAGAUGGGCGGAAUUCGUGGUGUAGCGGUGAAAUGCUUAGAUAUCACGAAGAACUCCGAUUGCGAAGGCAGUUCACUGGACUGCAACUGACACUGAGGCUCGAAAGUGUGGGUAUCAAACAGGAUUAGAUACCCCUGUAGUC